GUGGGGAAUAUUGGACAAUGGGCGCAAGCCUGAUCCAGCCAUGCCGCGUGAGUGAUGAAGGCCUUAGGGUUGUAAAGCUCUUUCGUCAGGGAAGAUAAUGACGGUACCUGAAGAAGAAGCCCCGGCUAACUUCGUGCCAGCAGCCGCGGUAAUACGAAGGGGGCUAGCGUUGCUCGGAAUCACUGGGCGUAAAGCGCACGUAGGCGGCUUUCUAAGUCAGGGGUGAAAUCCUGGAGCUCAACUCCAGAACUGCCUUUGAUACUGGAGAGCUUGAGGUCGGGAGAGGUGAGUGGAACUGCGAGUGUAGAGGUGAAAUUCGUAGAUAUUCGCAAGAACACCAGUGGCGAAGGCGGCUCACUGGCCCGAUACUGACGCUGAGGUGCGAAAGCGUGGGGAGCAAACAGGACUAGAUACCCCAGUAGUCC
rnacentral:rRNA from 1 species